UUCAUUACAAGGUCGUAUGUGAAAGGUUUAAAUUUUCGAAAGAUUUAGGAGAUAAACUAGUAUUGGAUGUUUUUCCUCAGAUUUGUUGUUCUUAUGAGCUUCAGAUCUAAUGGUUUUAAUCGGAUCUAUUGUGAUUGAAACCCCUCUUUUCAUUUCUGAUAUGGGUUUAUUUGUUACUUUCCGUUUGGGUGAACAAACCUCUUUUCACUUUUUGAACCAACCGGAGAUUAAGCAAGGUUUCAAUCAUCAAGACAAUUUGUUAGGAUGGACUUUUGAGAGAAGAGGUUAUAUAUGAUUUAUUAAUAUAUUAUAAGUUAUAAUAUACUAAUAUGAAAUCAUAUGUUUUAAUUAGUAUUGAUCAAGAACUAAUUUAGUGAUCAAAACAGACUAAUUAAAUCAAUGGGGACUAAUUAUGAUAAUUAGUUAUAUUUAUAUGUGUUGGGCUUAUGAUCCAUGUUGGACCAAGUUUAUGUAUGGAUACAUAAAAAGUUGGGCCACAUGAACCAUGGAUCAUAAAACCCAUGGGUAUGGAUUAUGGGUUAUACCCAUGACCCUUGGAAUCCUACAUAUAAAUAGGUUACUACUUAGCCAAAAUCAUCACUUCUUUUCUUAGAGAAAUAUGGAGGUGUUUUGGUGCAUGAAAUUCUCUCUCAAGAGCCACCUUUGUCCUAGGUGUGUUGUGAUUCCUUUUGAGGCAUUUCAUACUAUUGGUGCUAAGCUCUUAAGGCCAAAUACAUCAAGACUUCAAGCCACAUAAAAGGUAUGUUACCCUAACUAGUAUAUUAUAUGGUUUAUGUCAAAUGCAUGCUAGUUAUAGGUUUAAUGCCUUGGAAACCAUUUGCAUGUAUAAUUAGUGAAAACAUAAAUCCAAGGUAUUUAGGGUUGUAUGUGCACCAUAAGAUGUUGUAUUCUACCAAAACCCAACAUAUUUUCCUUGCACUCUCAACCAUGAUUUGUUACACACUUAAUACAUUUCGAGACACUUUGUUGUUUUUCUUGCGAUUCCUGAGAUAUUGAAAAACGUCAUUUUUAGAAUUGGUACUUUAAGCUUUCUCUUUUCAUUGACAUAUUUCCUCUCUUAGUUUUUUCUUUUAUUAACAACUUCCACAUUUCACGCUACAAUUAUUUCCUGAUCUAAUUUUUCUGCAUGUUUUACUUAUAACUCAUAUUCCGACGGGAGGCCGUUUGCAAAAUGGGUAACCUUCAUAUGAUCGGUGAGGUAAGCGUCUUCCAUGAAAGGAAGCAUCUUCACAAACCUCUUAAACUAUUCAACAAUUAUCAUGUUACCUUUCUUCAAUACAUCUAAUUCUUCCUGUAGAUUCUAUAUAUCUCUAGAAGGACAGAUCUUGUUCUUAAUUCUUUCAACAAAUUCUUCCAAGAUCAAUUAUGAAGGGUAUUUCUUCCUAAAACUCUAUAUAACACAUCCCACCAGGCUGCAAUAUCAUCUUUAAGCACUCGAGAGGCAUAAAUAACAAUAUCAUUCUUUUUACGCUUGCAGCUAUCAAACACUUUCUAAAUUUCAUAGAUCCAGCACAUAGUAACUUCUGGUUCAAAGCUGAAGUGGUACUCCUAUUGCUUGCAACCCAUAAAGUACUUGAAAGUACAUCCUCUUCUCAUAUCUUCUUUUGAUUUAGAAUACUCACAUCCCUAACAUGAGAAGAUCCUUCUUCACUAAUAGAUUUACUCCUUUCAGGUGGAGAGGGACCUUGUUGGGAUCCUUUCAAACAAAUAUUAAGAAUAGGAUUCACAUCUCCCUUAACUUUAUCCCUCCUGCUAUCAAGAAGAGCCAAUAUGGCUUAAACUGUAAGAGGUGGUUGACUUCCUUCACCCCUCGUAACUUCUAGAUCUACUUUCUUGUGUGUACUUUCGUACGUAGACCCCUUAUUUGACCCAUGACUAGCCUCUUAGGGCAUUUUCCAUUCCUUGUCCUCCUCAUUGUCUAGAAAAGAGAUCAAUUUAAUUAUUGACUAAUAGAAAAUACACAUUUCCAAGUAGUCUAAAUAAGCAUAAUAUUAGUGACACUCAUAUUAUGAAACUCUAUGGUAAUAGUUGAAGUCUAGAAUAGUUAAUUCAUCCUAAUUCACUUAAAUAAUGGUCCUGAUACCAAAUUAUAACACCCAUAUUUCUAAAUUAAUUAAAACAUAUAAAACUUCCAUUUAAAAAAAAAAACUUCAGACGGUUUGAAGUAUAACAUUUCCAAAAGUAAUAGUGGGGUAGUUUUAAUGUGUAGGAAAAUUUUAAUGUCGUUCUUUCCGAUGAAGAACCAAAGCAGAUUGAAAAUACCUAAAAUAAAAUACAUGAGUCUCCUCCUUUUGAUACUUUAAUAUAUGAUUUUGUCCAAUUUACUUCUCCACAAAAUGAACAAACUCAUAUGUUAUAUUAUAGUCUUCAUAGUGAGGAUGGUAAAGGAAAUGUUGAUUUGGAUAAUGAGUGCCCAUUCAAGAAGGGUUAAAAUAUACACUCCCUGAAGUUGAGGAUGACGCAAUGGCUUUGAUAUAGAGUUCGAAUUGUGGAUUUGAAGGGAGAAAUUAUUUGAUUAUUUAUGAACAUAGGUCUUUAUUUGACUUUUUGGGUGUUGACAAUGAUGAAGCUAACAAUGAUCCAUUAAAAAAUGCGGUAAACUAAUAUAUUUUUUUUUUCAUACUUUCAUUGUCAUUUGUAUCACAAUAAGCUUACACAAACAUUUGCUUUGCCUGCUUUUAGUGUUGAUGAAUGAGAUAAUGAGGCAUACAAAAUUGUAGAUGAAGAUAUUGAAACUCUCAGGUUCAAGAUGUAAACAAUGUUACCUCACACACUGAGCAAAAUGAAGAGGAACUGAUGUAAUCAUGUCAUGUGAAGCCAAAUAUUGAUCCAAGCAGCUAAAGUGAUCAUAAUUGUUGUGUUUGAUGUUUUUUGUGUAUAUGAUUUGAAUGAUGAUUUGAUGACAACUUUGAAAGAUAAUCAAGAUUGAUUAUAAAAUGAAGAAAUUAUCAAAAACAUUGAAAGACUGCUUUGAGACUCUCUAUGGACAAAUUUUGGAAAGUAAAAAAGCAUUAUGCAAAUUUAGAAAAGAAAUGAAUAAUGAAAAUGUUGAAUUGAAGAAACAAGUUAAGGAUUUAUAAUUGAUAGAGAUAAGACGUUGGAGCUUAUGCAUAACACGUUUAAAAAUACAGGUUUAAUUAAACCUCAGUUUAUUUUAGCAGCAUGUAGACUUUACAAAACAAACAGUUUUUUUUCUUGUAGACUACAAAAGUUUGGUCUACCUCUUAUUUUGUAAAUAUUAUGUAAAUAUGGUCCAAUAAAUGCAAACCUAUUAGCUCUUGAAAACCAAGCAACACCUAAAUCCAUUUAUAACAAAACUAUUGGAAAAUAAAUCAUUAAGUGGCUUAAUAUGUGUACUUAUCCCAUGGUCUACAAAUCAUGGAUUAAUUUAAUGAGAAAAUGAGAGCUUUUUUAAAAUUAAAUUUCAAGCACAUAUUUACAAUGAUAAAAUCUAUCAUUAACAAAAAAGCAGUGACGAAUCCAGAAUUCAAACUCACAUGUGUCCAAAAUGAACGACGUAUCAAAAUAAACAACUUAUAAAAUUUUGGUGAUCGGGUCGGGUUGUCAAUAAUCAACUUAAUGCAACUGUAAUAUAACAAUGAACCGAAUAAAAAACAACUAACAUCAUAUACAAACUAAAUCAAUAAAAUAUUUACAUUUUAAAACUAUUUAAAAUUUUUUAUUUUAACUAUUUUACUCCAAACUAAAUAAUUAAAUCUAAAAUCAUAUAACAUAAGGUUUGUUGAUUAAUCAAAAUUUAGAAUAUUUUGUUGCAUAUAUGUCUAGUUAAUUACGAAAAGUGUUGCACUACAUUUUAGUUUCUAGACUUUGACCAAUAGGUAAUAGGCUAUAGCAACAAUUGGUUUAUUUUACCCUGAAGGCAUUAAAUGACUAAAUACUAAAAGAGAGAGAAAAUGNAAUUUUAUAAAUUCAAUAAGAAAAAGUGAGAAAACAGAGCAAAAACUAAACAGCCGUUGCUGCUCCGUUGUUGCUGUAGAUCUCAAGCAAAGCUUCACAUCUCCGACGUUGCUUCUUAUCUCCAGCGUCGCUUUGCCGCUCCCCUCUGAUUUACCCAAUUGGUCAAUAGGAAAAAGCCCACUUCAAAAUAUAGAGUAUCGGCGUUUUUUCCUUUACAUACGAACUCUUCUAGGUUUAAAAAGAAAACAAAGAAAAACACUCUACCCAAUAAACAACAGCCAAUAGAUACUCGAUUUUUACUUUAUUAAUAUACUCUCUUACUUUCUGUUUUACUACUCGUGUUCAUUUUAUUCAUAUUAUUGUUGAAUUUAUAAUCGUUUUAUAUAGGAAUACAUAUUACACUAACGGCUUAUGCAUAUUUUUGCUAAAAUAAUUUAUAAACAAUUAGUUGAUGAUGGUACUAUUAUUCUAAAAUAAUAGCGAUUUGUUUUGUAUAUGAAGUAUGUAUAUUUUUCAAUACAUAUAGUUUAUAAAAAUAUAUCUUUGAAAAUAUUUAUGAAUUUUAUUAUAUAGAAAAUGGUUUUCAAUUUAAUAAAUGUUUUUUUUUUUUAAUUUAAAACAUGCUGUCCUAUAAACUUUUGUCAAAUUUGUCAACAAUCCCAAGUCCCCCAAACAUCUUUGUGAAAUUUGUCAAUAACUCAAAUAUCUUUAAAAAAAAACUCAUUAGUAACAUUCUUUACAAAACUAAUAUAAAGUAAGCAUGGCAUUCGUUAAUAUUAAAAAUUAAAAUUAUUUGGUUGAAUGAAUUAAGUUUUUCAUUUCACUCGUAUCAGUCAAAUCCAUGAUGUAUAAUUCCAAUUUAUUUAAUAGAUUCUAUUAUUUUAAAAAUAAUCAGAAAACGCACAUAAAUAUCAACCUCAUUUAAAAAAUAAUUAAUAUAAUCUUUAUAAAAAACAAAAGACGAAAAUUAUAACAUUUUAAUUAACUCGAUCUUGAUUUCGGCCCCUCCGGUUAUAAUGGCCGUGUUCCGCCCCUGGACCAAUAGGUAAUAGGCUAUAACAACAAUUGGUUUAUUUUACUCGGAGACAUUAAAUGAUUAAAUACUAAAAGAGAGAGAAAAUGAGAGUGUGAGAAUAAGACCUCAAAAUAAAAGACACGGGAGGAGGAAGCCGUCUCCGAUCCAAUGAAAUGGAAAAACUGAUCAGGUGUAGGAGAUGUGUACCAAGUUGCAGGAUGAUAUUGAGCACCGAGGUGGUGCCGACAAAGAAAUCAGAGCGGAUAUUGGUUUAGCAAUAACGUGGGUGACGCAAAAAAAUUAUUUUUUGUUUAAUUAGGGUUUCAUCUUUUUUCUUCAAGAUUGGCUUCUCAAUUUUCUUAUAUUGACAAAUUUGGAAUUAUUAUAAAUAGAUUAUGAUAUGUAUAGAAAGAUUUUAUUUUUGUUAAAUACCUUCUAACCUCCCUAUUUUUAAUCAUAAAAAAAUCACGCUUAUAGAAAAUUUCUCUUUAAAAAUCCCAAAAAUUGUUAUAAAUCAUCUCUUUCUUUGUGUUGAUAGUUGCCAUAGGUGUCCAUGAACACCCUUUGGCAUGAUCUACCAUAUAAUUUAUAAAAAAUUACCAAAUUAAGGGGUGUCAAGUUCGUGACAUCAUAUGUGUCCAUCUCAGAUCUACUAUAUAAUCUAUAAAAAAUUACCAAAUCAAGGGGUGUUCAUGAAUACCCUUUAAAACACGUAGCUUCGCCUUUGCAUAAAAGAGCUUCUUUAAAAGUUAUUAAGUAUAUAUAUGAACGAAAACAAUUUGGCAUGCUCAAAUUAUUUGGGAUCUUAGUUUGGGGUUACAUUUGUCCAAAAUUAUAUAAAAAUUUUACUGUAAGUAGACUUAAAAUGUAAUAUUUAAAGACUUCUAGACCACUUAGAUUGAUUUUGAAAAGAUUUAAGGGCUAACUGUGACUUCAAAAUCUCAUAUACUUAUUUGCAAUAACAUAGGGACUUGUGUGAAAUAUUUAUACUACUUUGAGUAAUAUUUAAAGGCUACGAUGUACGAUGUCUUACCGUCAGAUCUAUAGUGUUAAGAAAAGAAAGGCCGACGGCAAACCUAGUACUAGAUGCUUUUCAUCAGAUCUACUGUACCUGUGACCUUCCGAUCUAAUGGUUUUUCACAGUUACUUGAUUGAGGUAUCUAUAUUUAAACACUUUAAUUGGUUCUAUUUUCUGUGUAAACCUAGUAUAUAUAGAAGGUUUUCAUUACAGGGUCGUAUGUGAAAGGUGUACAUUUUCGAAAGAUUUAGGAGAUAAACUAGUAUCGGAUGCUUUUCCUCAGAUCUGUUGUUCUUAUGAGCUUCAGAUCUAAUGGUUUUAAUCAGAUCUAAUGUGAUUGAAAACCCCCUUUUCAUUUCUGAUCUGGGUUUAUUUGUUACUUUCCGUUUGGGUGAACAAACCCCUUUUCACUUUUUGAAUUCGGAUAAACCGGAAAUUAAGCAGGGUUUUAAUUCUCACCCGGGUUUAUAUGGCCACAAUCUGCCUACUUUUCUUUCGUUGAUUACCAGCUUUCUUUCAAUUAAGCUCACGGGUGAAAUCGAUAAUUGUU
rnacentral:lncRNA from 1 species